rfam:Ricinus communis cultivar Hale ctg_1100012361246, whole genome shotgun sequence.
AAUUUGUGAUGUGGGCAGCAUCUUAAAAGAUCCUUAAACCCCUCCCAUGCAUCGUACAUGCUUUCAUCAUCAAGCUGCACAAAAGAAGAUAUAUCAUUUCUAAGUUU